rnacentral:tRNA from 1 species
GCGCUCGUAGCUCAGCUGGAUAGAGUACCUGGCUACGAACCAGGCGGUCAGAGGUUUGAAUCCUCUCGAGCGCGCCA